GAUGAACGCUGGCGGCGUGCUUAACACAUGCAAGUCGAACGGAAAGGCCAGUGCUUGCACUGGUACUCGAGUGGCGAACGGGUGAGUAACACGUGGGUGAUCUGCCCUGCACUUCGGGAUAAGCCUGGGAAACUGGGUCUAAUACCGGAUAGGACAAUGGUUUGGAUGCCGUUGUGGAAAGUUUUUUCGGUGUGGGAUGAGCUCGCGGCCUAUCAGCUUGUUGGUGGGGUAAUGGCCUACCAAGGCGUCGACGGGUGGCCGGCCUGAGAGGGUGUACGGCCACAUUGGGACUGAGAUACGGCCCAGACUCCUACGGGAGGCAGCAGUGGGGAAUAUUGCACAAUGGGCGCAAGCCUGAUGCAGCGACGCCGCGUGGGGGAUGACGGCCUUCGGGUUGUAAACUCCUGUCGCUAGGGACGAAGCGUAUUUGUGACGGUACCUGGAGAAGAAGCACCGGCUAACUACGUG
rnacentral:rRNA from 1 species